GCACUGCUGAGGAGUGCCAUACUAGGACGAAACGGCAGUCCUGUGC
rfam:Schistosoma mattheei strain Denwood, Zambia genome assembly, scaffold: SMTD_scaffold0012958